rnacentral:lncRNA from 1 species
UUUUUUUUUUUUUUUUUUAACUUUUUGCAAAAUGCUUCUAUCAAAGAUUCAAACUCAAAACCUUUGUAAUAGAAGACCAAUGUAGUAACCAUUGCACCAUCACAUCGUAUUUGUUUUUUUUGAUAACUUAUUUUAUAAAAACAAACAUCUAUAUUUUAGUUUUCCAUUUUUCUUACAAAAUCUCAUCCUCUCAUGACUCUUUCUUUUUAAUCUUCACUCUUUCUUUUCUCUCUCAUCUUUUCUUUUGUCACACCAUUUUUAAUCAAACCUCAUUAGUUUUAAUUUAUUGAUGUUUUCUUCUAUUUUAAUUUUGUUUUUGCCCAUUAAAUUGGAAAAGUAAAAAAGAAUUAUUUUUCUUUAACCCAAAUUAUUUAAUGCCACAACCACUCACUUUUAUCUCAUUUUUGUUUCUUAUCAAGUUUGCAUUUCUAUUUUCAAUUCUCUUAACUUCUUCGAACUUCAAACUUUCUUUUUAAAUUACAAUCUUUAAAACUCAAAGACGUAAAUUAAAUUUAAAUUCACAAUAUCAAAUUCUCAUAGACGUGAAUUGUAUAAUUUCAAAAUAUUGUGAUAUUUUGGGUUGGAUUUAAGAUUUUUUGGUAGACUAUAAUUGAAAUUGAGAUGAAAUUUAUUUGUUUUAACUUAUUUAUUUUUGAAAAUCCAAAUUAUUCAAAAAAUAGUGAACUUUUCAUCAUAUAAAGUUUUAAAUUAGUCCAUUGCAUGUCUUAUUUUGUGCAUAUAUAUAUUUAUAUAAAUUAUUUUUAAAAACAUUCAUUGAACCGAGGUUGAACCGGUCCGACCGAUUGAACCUCGACUCUUUCACUUCACCGGUUCAAUUAACGGUCCAGGUUUUAAAACAUUGGUUUCAACCACUCAAAAUUUCUCAUUGAACUAAAAUCUACAACAACAAAAAAAAAAAUAUAUCGGUCCCCUCUUGCAGAUUCAAAUAACAAACUUUUCCAUCUAUCUAUCCAAAAUUGGAUUCUAACUCCACUCUCUAUUGUAUUGAGACCAAAUUCAACAGUUCAUUACUUAAUUAACUCCCAAAAAUUCGUUUGAGGCCCUAAUAUAAACAUCACAAAAUAGUGUAUUUUAAACCUCUUGACAAUAGUAAGAGCGAAUUGUCUUAAAUUUGGAUGAUGGAAAAAUUAUGGCAAAAUUAAAAAGAGUAAUAAAAAGCAAAUUAAAUCACAAAAAUAGCAAUCAUGUUCGAAACUUCCUAGUGAAACAUUACCGGAAAAGAUUAUUGUUUUCUGAUAAAAGGUAGAGAAGCAAACCAGCUGUACAGAAGUCGUAAAAGAAAACAGCUAAGUUUAACAAAUAAUACAAUAGGAUACGCGACCAAGAAUUAUAAAUAACUAUUUUAUAUCACAUACGUUACAUCGAAAAAAAAUAUACGGACAUUGGAACCCAAACUCACAAACUCACAUCGAAAAAACUAUACACAUACUUCUCACAACUCACAAACUCAAACUAUUGGAACACGGAUAUUGUUCAUUUUUUACUGCUAACGUCAUCCAUAUCAAGUGCAAAUUUUGGAUCGGACUCCUGAUUCAGUUUAUUUGGGAAUCGUUGCAAUUCAAGCCUGAUCAGUUCCUAUUAAUUAAAGGCGCUCCC